rnacentral:rRNA from 1 species
GAUGAACGCUGGCGGCGUGCCUAAUACAUGCAAGUCGAGCGAACGGACGAGAAGCUUGCUUCUCUGAUGUUAGCGGCGGACGGGUGAGUAACACGUGGAUAACCUACCUAUAAGACUGGGAUAACUUCGGGAAACCGGAGCUAAUACCGGAUAAUAUUAUGAACCGCAUGGUUCAAAAGUUAAAGACGGUCUUGCUGUCACUUAUAGAUGGAUCCGCGCUGCAUUAGCUAGUUGGUAAGGUAACGGCUUACCAAGGCAACGAUGCAUAGCCGACCUGAGAGGGUGAUCGGCCACACUGGAACUGAGACACGGUCCAGACUCCUACGGGAGGCAGCAGUAGGGAAUCUUCCGCAAUGGGCGAAAGCCUGACGGAGCAACGCCGCGUGAGUGAUGAAGGUCUUCGGAUCGUAAAACUCUGUUAUUAGGGAAGAACAUAUGUGUAAGUAACUGUGCACAUCUUGACGGUACCUAAGCAGAAAGCCACGGCUAACUACGUG